rnacentral:rRNA from 1 species
UACGUAGGGUGCAGGCGUUGUCCGGAAUUAUUGGGCGUAAAGGGCUCGUAGGCGGUCUGUCACGUCGGGAGUGAAAACUCAGGGCUUAACCCUGAGCCUGCUUCCGAUACGGGCAGACUAGAGGUAUGCAGGGGAGAACGGAAUUCCUGGUGUAGCGGUGAAAUGCGCAGAUAUCAGGAGGAACACCGGUGGCGAAGGCGGUUCUCUGGGCAUUACCUGACGCUGAGGAGCGAAAGUGUGGGGAGCGAACAGG